rnacentral:rRNA from 1 species
UGGGAACGCGAAGAACCUUACCAGGACUUGACAUCCUACUAAUGAAGCAGAGAUGCAUUAAGUGCCCUUCGGGGAGAGUAGAGACAGGUGGUGCAUGGUUGUCGUCAGCUCGUGUCGUGAGAUGUUGGGUUAAGUCCCGCAACGAGCGCAACACUUAUCCUUAGUUGCUACCAUUAAGUUGAGCACUCUAAAGAGACUGCCCGGGUUAACCGGGAGGAAGGUGGGGAUGACGUCAAAUCAUCAUGCCCCUUAUGUCUAGGGCCACACACGUGCUACAAUGGUGAGUACAACGAGAUGCGAACCCGCGAGGGGGAGCGUAAACUCAAAAACUCAUCUCAGUUCGGAUUGCAGGCUGCAACUCGCCUGCAUGAAGCUGGAGUUGCUAGUAAUCGCGAAUCAGAAUGUCGCGGUGAAUACGUUCCCGGGUC